AUCGACUUACAAGGGUGUGAAAAAAUGGGCUCGAUAUUAAAUCGAGAAAAAAUAUGAUUUUUAUAGUUUUAAAAUGGUUUUGAACUAAAUUAAAAUACAACAACUAUGCAUUAUUAACAAAUGAAAUUAUGAGUAUAAUAAACAUAAAAAGAAAAUGUUAAUAAAAUACUAAAAUAAAAAAUACUAAAAGAAGAUAAAAUAAAAUAAUAAACAAAAAGUACUGCACAUGAGUAUUGAACCCUCUCCACUUAAUAUUAUGAAACUACCCUCUCUCCACUAGGCCAUUCAUGAUCAGUUAUCAUUUUAGCAAACACUUGGGAAUAUAAACAGAACUAGCUAGAGAUAGUUUAGAAAACAAAUCAAUUAAAAGAGGGGAUAGGCUAAUGUUACUGGACAGCCUACCUAAACUAAACAACAUUAAUAUACACUAUGUAAUAAAAGAAAAAGAAAAAAAAAUGCUAAACAUAUUACAAAUUUUUGUGGUUUUUCUAUUUAUUUAUCUCUGUUUAACAAAAAGAAAUUGAAUUAAUUAAAAAAAGAAAAGAAAAAAAAGGAAAUGGAGACGAAGAAGAAGAUGACAGAAGCUCGUCUUCCUCCGGUAUCGCCCUCACGAUCUUUCUUCUCUCCCAACCUUACACUUCUCUCUCAAGCGCGCUCCUAACCCUCAAUCUCACUCAAACGCUCUCUCAGCUCACAAUCUCAAAGAAACAUUCUCUCUCAACUCUCACAAAUAUUUUCAAACAACAAGCAUAUGAGAAGGAUAAAGAGAAAGAAAGAGAGGUCCUUACA
rnacentral:lncRNA from 1 species